GGAUGUGGGGCAAUCUGGUUGCAACAUCUGUCACCCCAUUGAUCACCAGGAUUGGUUCAGCUGAUCUGGCUGGCUAGGCAAGUAUCCCCUUCUUCCCUCAAUGCUCCACAUGCAUCCCUCCCAAAGCUGCAAGAGGAAGAGCUUCCCCAGCAGAGGAGGACCCAUCUUCAGUCAAAGGUAUACAAGUAGCUGCAUCCCCCUGUUAGAACUCCAAACAAGCUCUCAUUUUUAUUGUUAAUGAAGUUCUUCUCUGGAUUUUAAAGGGAAUCCUCUCCUUCCCUUUAAGGCCCCACCAUGUUUUCCUGUCUGAUAUGCUGUGCCAUUUU
rnacentral:snRNA from 1 species